UAAUAACUCCCUUCAUCCGAAAAUACUUGUCAUAGGAAUGGAUGUAUCUAGAUGUGUUUUAGUUCUAGAUACAUCCAUUUUUAUAUGUGCGACAAGUAAUUCGGGAUGGAG
rnacentral:pre_miRNA from 1 species